UACAGAGGUCUCAAGCGUUGUUCGGAUUCAUUGGGCGUAAAGGGUGCGUAGGCGGCGUGGUAAGUCGGGUGUGAAAUCUCGGAGCUUAACUCCGAAACUGCAUUCGAUACUGCCGUGCUUGAGGACUGGAGAGGAGACUGGAAUUUACGGUGUAGCGGUGAAAUGCGUAGAUAUCGUAAGGAAGACCAGUGGCGAAGGCGGGUCUCUGGACAGUUACUGACGCUGAGGCACGAAGGCCAGGGGAGCAAACGGG
rnacentral:rRNA from 1 species